CAAUAGCGUAUACUAAAGUUGUUGCGAUUAAAAAGCUCGUAGUUGGAUCUCAGGCAUGGGCGCACGGUCCGCCUCGCGGCGGUCACUGUGUGUUUUGUUUCCCAUCCUACGCUUCCCGGUUAUCAGCCCAUGGUGCUCUUCACUGAGCGUUUUGGGUGGCCGGAACGUUUACUUUGAAGAAAUUAGAGUGUUCAAAGCAGGCACGUCGCCUGAAUAAUGGUGCAUGGAAUAAUGGAAUAGGACCUCGGUUCUAUUCUGCUGGUUUUCGGAACACGAGGUAAUGAUUAAGAGGGACAGACGGGGGCAUCCGUAUUGCGGUGUUAGAGGUGAAAUUCUUGGAUCAUCGCAAGACGAACAACUGCGAAAGCAUUUGCCAAGCAUGUUUUCAUUAG
rnacentral:rRNA from 1 species